rnacentral:lncRNA from 10 species
AUGUUUCUGCUGCAAUACAUAGCAAAUCGUUUUUCUUCUUACACAGAUACCUCUCCUGGCUCAGAAGACGAACACUCAGUGCAGGGGGACUCCCAAGGCACCCCGACCUCCAGCCAGGGUUGCAUCAACAUGGAGCACUGGAUCAGUCAGGCCAUCCAUGGCUCCACCACGUCCUCCACCUCCUCCACCUCCUCGACCUCCUCGUCCUCCAUGCAGAGCAGGGGCAGCGGGGCUGCCCACAGGCUGGCGGAGGUCAUGGCCCAAACCCACAUAGAAAAUCAUUCUGCACCUCCUGACGUAACCACGUACACCUCAGAGCACUCCAUACAGAUGGAGCGACCACAGGGUUCCACGGGGUCCCGGACAGCGCACAAGUAUGGCAACGCCGAGCUCAUGGAGACCGGGGAUGCUUUAUUCAUAAUUGCUCAAACUUGGAGGCAACGAAGAAACCAAAAUGUUCUUCACUAGUAGAAAUGAACUAGCGGAUUCCAAAAUGUGUCCGGAAAUUUAAAGAACCCAAAAGAGCUAAGACAACUUGGAAAAAAACGGUGGAGGACUUACCUGAACUAUCAAGAUAGUGUGGUAUUGCUAUAAUAAGAGAAAACCGGGUUAAUGAAACCUCCUAGAGGGUCUAGUAAUAAUCUCACAAACAUGUUACCUAUACAUAGUGGAUUUUUGAAUAAAGGUUCAAAGACAUUAAAUUAGAGAAAGGACGAUAAUGAUGAUAGAAGGAUUAAAUACUACAGGCCAAAAAGAGAAAAAAGAGCUCGUUAAAUAUCUUCACAUUGUUGGUGUCACUCAUGCAAUUCAAUUCACAUUUUGUGGGUCUAAAAGUUGAACAGACUUCUUCAUUCUCUUUCCCCAAUUCACUCCACAGAGAUGCUGAUGUCUUUCAGUGGAACUUGGAAGUUUGCUAUUCUUUUUAAAAUGACUCUCUUAGAUACUGUUUAUGCAAGAAGUUGUGGGACUGUAACUGGGACUGUAACUUACAAAUACUGUUCUAAACCUUGGAAUCACACGUUUCCCUUUUUCUCUACUUAUCGUUUCUAGUCAGUUUCCCAUUUCCUCUUUCUUCUUCGUAU